rnacentral:rRNA from 1 species
UACGUAGGGUGCGAGCGUUAAUCGGAAUUACUGGGCGUAAAGCGCUCGCAGGUGGUUCGUUGCGUCGUGCGUGAAAGACCCCGGCUCAACUGGGGAGUGUCGUGCGAUACGGGCGGACUGGAGGCCAGUAGGGGGAUGCGGAAUUCCGGGUGUAGUGGUGGAAUGCGUAGAGAUCCGGAGGAACACCAGCGGCGAAGGCGGCAUCCUGGACUGGUCCUGACACUCAUGAGCGAAAGCGUGGGGAGCGAUCCGG